rnacentral:rRNA from 1 species
CCUAUGGGGGGCAGCAGGCGCGAAACCUCCUCAAUGCACUCACGUGCGAAGGGGUUACCUCGAGUGCCAUCUGAAGAAGGUGGCUUUUCCUUGGUCUAAAUAGCCUAGGGAAUAAGAGGGGGGCAAGACUGGUGUCAGCCGCCGCGGUAACACCAGCCCCUCGAGUGGUGGGGAUGAUUAUUUGGCCUAAAGCGUCCGUAGCCGGCCGGGUAAGUUUCCCGUUAAAUCCAGCGUCUCAAGCGUUGGACUGCGGGAAAUACUGCCCGGCUAGAGAGUGGGAGAGGUAAGCGGUAUUCUGGGGGUAGGGGCGAAAUCCUUUGAUCCCCGGAGGACCACCAGUGGCGAAGGCUGCUUACUAGAACACGUCUGACGGUCAGGGACGAAAGCUGGGGUAGCGAACCGGAUUAGAUACCCCAGUAGUCC